rnacentral:lncRNA from 1 species
UUUUAACAAUUUUCACUUAAAAAAUUAAAAAAGAUUUAUCAACUAAAUUUGAUCGAAAAUAUACCAAAAACAAAAACACCGAAAAUCUAAUUAAUAAUUUUCAUCUUGUCUUAUUCUUUUAAAAUUAACACUCACUGUCACAAAUAAAAAUAAAACUACAACAAAAAAUAAAAAACCAAAUUAUAUAAUAUGUAAAUAUUAAAUAUUAAUUGUAAUAGCUCAUUUUUGCCCGGGCCCCACACACUCAAAUCAAACAAAAAAAUAAAACCAAAGCCUAAAAAAUAAUAAUAAUCAAAAGUCCAUUAUAAACCUCAGCCCAAUAAAGACCCAAACUUAACAACAACCCAAAAUAAAAAUCCAAACCCAACAGCCCAAAAACUAAACCCAACAGCCCAAAAUAUAACCAAACCCUAGCCCAACUAAACCCAAAACCAACAGCAAAAAAAAAAAAGAUAACAGAAAAAGAAAAAAGAAAACCCUAGGUGUGCCGCACCUAGGUCUGCCCCUAGUCGCUCCUCCCACGCACGCCACCACCGCCGCACGCCAUUGUCACGCUCGUCUGACACUUGCAAGAAUUGAAUGCAACAACAGGAAAGGCACGCC